rnacentral:rRNA from 1 species
GAUGAACGCUGGCGGCGUGCCUAAUACAUGCGAGUCGAGCGAACAGACGAGGAGCUUGCUCCUCUGACGUUAGCGGCGGACGGGUGAGUAACACGUGGAUAACCUACCUAUAAGACUGGGAUAACCUCGGGAAACCGGAGCUAAUACCGGAUAAUAUAUUGAACCGCAUGGUUCAAUAGUGAAAGACGGUUUUGCUGUCACUUAUAGAUGGAUCCGCGCCGCAUUAGCUAGUUGGUAAGGUAACGGCUUACCAAGGCAACGAUGCGUAGCCGACCUGAGAGGGUGAUCGGCCACACUGGAACUGGGACACGGUCAAGACUCCUACGGGAGGCAGCAGUAGGGAAUCUUCCGCAAUGGGCGAAAGCCUGACGGAGCAACGCCGAGUGAGUGAUGAAGGUCUUCGGAUCGUAAAACUCUGUUAUUAGGGAAGAACAAAUGUGUAAGUAACUAUGCACGUCUUGACGGUACCUAAUCAGAAAGCAACGGCUAACUACGUG